GAAGUAAAAAUCGUAACAAGGUCUCCGUUGGUGAACCAGCGGAGGGAUCAUUACCGAGUUUACAACUCCCAAACCCCUGUGAACAUACCACUUGUUGCCUCGGCGGAUCAGCCCGCUCCCGGUAAAACGGGACGGCCCGCCAGAGGACCCCUAAACUCUGUUUCUAUAUGUAACUUCUGAGUAAAACCAUAAAUAAAUCAAAACUUUCAACAACGGAUCUCUUGGUUCUGGCAUCGAUGAAGAACGCAGCAAAAUGCGAUAAGUAAUGUGAAUUGCAGAAUUCAGUGAAUCAUCGAAUCUUUGAACGCACAUUGCGCCCGCCAGUAUUCUGGCGGGCAUGCCUGUUCGAGCGUCAUUUCAACCCUCAAGCACAGCUUGGUGUUGGGACUCGCGUUAAUUCGCGUUCCCCAAAUUGAUUGGCGGUCACGUCGAGCUUCCAUAGCGUAGUAGUAAAACCCUCGUUACUGGUAAUCGUCGCGGCCACGCCGUUAAACCCCAACUUCUGAAUGUUGACCUCGGAUCAGGUAGGAAUACCCGCUGAACUUAAGCAUAUCA
rnacentral:rRNA from 1 species